rnacentral:rRNA from 1 species
UACGUAGGGGGCAAGCGUUAUCCGGAUUUACUGGGUGUAAAGGGAGCGUAGACGGCAGUGCAAGUCUGGAGUGAAAGGCGGGGGCUCAACCCCCGGACUGCUCUGGAAACUGUACGGCUGGAGUGCAGAAGAGGUAAGUGGAAUUCCUAGUGUAGCGGUGAAAUGCGUAGAUAUUAGGAGGAACACCAGUGGCGAAGGCGGCUUACUGGACUGUAACUGACGUUGAGGCUCGAAAGCGUGGGAAGCAAACAGG